CCUACGGGAGGCAGCAGUGAGGAAUAUUGGUCAAUGGACGAGAGUCUGAACCAGCCAAGUAGCGUGAAGGAUGACUGCCCUAUGGGUUGUAAACUUCUUUUAUAAAGGAAUAAAACGAGGCACGUGUGCCUUUUUGCAUGUACUUUAUGAAUAAGGAUCGGCUAACUCCGUGCGAGCAGCCGCGGUAAUACGGAGGAUCCGAGCGUUAUCCGGAUUUAUUGGGUUUAAAGGGAGCGUAGAUGGGUUGUUAAGUCAGUUGUGAAAGUUUGGGGCUCAACCGUAAAAUUGCAAUUGAUACUGGCAGUCUAGAGUACAGUUGAGGUAGGCGGAAUUCGUGGUGUAGCGGUGAAAUGCUUAGAUAUCACGAAGAACCCCGAUUGCGAAGGCAGCUUACUAAACUGUGACUGACAUUGAUGCUCGAAAGUGUGGGUAUCAAACAGGAUUAGAUACCCGAGUAGUC
rnacentral:rRNA from 1 species